GUGUUUUCAUGAUGAAAUUUCCCAUUGAUUCGCAGUUUCCACUCGAGUCCCAUAGAGCCAAUUUGGGAUAAAUGAGGGUAUAAUCUUCCUUGGAUGUCUGAUCUU
rnacentral:snoRNA from 1 species